rnacentral:rRNA from 1 species
AAAAACAUGUCCUUUAGUUGUUUAUUUAAGGUCUGGCCUGCCCAAUGAAUAUUAAUUUUGAAUGGCCGCAGUAUCUUAACUGUGCUAAGGUAGCGUAAUCAUUUGUCUUUUAAUUGUUGGCUAGUAUGAAGGGUUGGACAAAGUGUAAUCUUUCUUUACUUUAAUUAAUGAAUUUAAUUUUUAAGUUAAAAUGCUUAAAUUUUAUUAAGGGACGAUAAGACCCCGUAGAGUUUAAUAUUUAUUUAAUUAAUUUUAAGUAUUUGAUUAUGUAUAAAUUAAUUUAUUUGAAAUAUUGGAUUGGGGUGAUUAUUGAAUUUGUUUAACUUCUAUUUAUUUAGUUUCAUUUAUUUUUGUUUUUUUGAUCCAUCAGUGAUGAUUAAAAGAUUAAAUUACCUCGGGGAUAACAGCGUAAUUUUUUCGGAAAGUUCAUAUUGAUGAAAGAGUUUGCGACCUCGAUGUUGGAUUAAAAUUAGUUUUUGAUGCASUAGUUAAUUAACUAGGUCUGUUCGACCUUUAAAUUUUUA